rnacentral:lncRNA from 1 species
ACAAUAAAUCAAUAAUAUUAUUCAAGCCACGUCAUUCUAAAUUCCCUUUCUUUAUAUGCUGACUUGGAUAAAAUGUGGGAGAAGAUAUCUUCCAAAAAGAGAGGUUAUCUUUUUUUUUUUUUUUUUUUUUUUUUGAUAACCGUGGAUGUCCGGGCCAGCUUACGCGCACCUCGACUAAUCCCACGGGGCCCUGAAGUUAACGACCGGGUAAACCUCCAGUGGCCCUGAGGGGACUCGAACUGGUGACCAUUGGGGAGCAAACCCAAGGCCUGACCAACUGAGCUACCUCUCAGGGUUA